ACCUGGCUGGCUAAGUCAGUAGAGCGUGUGACUGUUAACCUGAGGGUCAUGAGUUUUAGUCUCAUGUUGGGUA
rnacentral:tRNA from 1 species